CAUCGAACGGCGGGGAUUAGUCCUCGCGGCUUCACACAGGUCUGGCAAGAAUGCGCCUUCGCCAGCAGCCAAAUUGAAGUAAAGGUCGACAAUGUUGGGGCAUUUCUGAUAACAAGCAGGAGAGCAAAGCUUUGAAGUAAACUGAGGCUCAAGAAGCGCAUCAGAAGAAAUACCAACAGAGUUCCUAUCAACCCCACAAGCCUUUACGCACUCAUCGGUCUCUAUAUAAUCUGCCAUUCGCUCAACCACAACUUCUGAUGUCCUGCACUGGUACUCCACCUUCCAAUCUCUCGUCGCAUACGUCUCCAACAAGCACCUCUUCCCAGAUGAUGCGAUAGAAAAUGCGCAUACAUCCUUUGGCAAAUCCUCGCAAACAAUCUCACCUACAGCUGCAUGGAGGAAGAGAGAGGAAAGAAAUAGAAGCAAAGCCAAUUUGAAACGAGCCAUGUAUUGGAAAUUUAAACUGCGAUUGUUUUGCUGACAAAAGGGUUUUGUGAGGGAGAGAGAGAGAGAGAGAGUU
rnacentral:misc_RNA from 1 species